rnacentral:rRNA from 1 species
UACGUAGGUGGCAAGCGUUGUCCGGAUUUAUUGGGUUUAAAGGGUGCGUAGGCGGCUUGAUAAGUCCGUGGUGAAAGCCAACAGCUCAACUGUUGAACUGCCAUGGAUACUGUCAGGCUUGAGUACAGACGAGGUAGGCGGAAUGGAUCGUGUAGCGGUGAAAUGCAUAGAUACGAUCCAGAACUCCGAUUGCGAAGGCAGCUUACUAGGCUGUAACUGACGCUGAGGCACGAAAGCGUGGGGAGCGAACAGG